UUAAAUCCAAUUUCUUGUCCACACCCUUUAUCUCUCUACAGUGUAUACAAUAUUUUUUCCUAUGUGACCGUUUUGAAAAAAGUUAGAGAGAGAAACAGAGAACAACUGAAGAAAAAAAACAACCAAACAACAACAACAACAACAGUCUUAUUCUUAUCCCAUGAUGCCAUUGUUUGCAGAAUCUCAAUCAAGGAAAUUUGUCUACUUGAGAGAACUUUGAAACUUUUCCCCCAUUUGGGUACCCCCAAAGUUGCUUAGUUUUUCUAGAUCCAUCACCUUUUCUGGGCUAUCAAUUGCAUACAAGGAAGAAUAGUAGAAUACAGUACAUCAUCAUCAUCAAAUACAGGUUGUCUCGAUUUUCGGAAAAAUACGAUUUUGAUCCAAACCCAUUUUCCCUUUACUCCAUGACACUUCUCUUGGCACCCCACAAUAUCUUUUUCAAAGUGUUCCAUGACACUUCUCUUGGCACCCCACAAUAUCUUUUUCAAAGUGUUCCAUGACACUUCUCUUGGCACCCCACAAUAUCUUUUUCAAAGUGUUCCAUGACACUUCUCUUGGCACCCCACAAUAUCUUUUUCAAAGUGUUCCAUGACACUUCUCUUGGCACCCCACAAUAUCUUUUUCAAAGUGUUCCAUGACACUUCUCUUGGCACCCCACAAUAUCUUUUUCAAAGUGUUCCAUGACACUUCUCUUGGCACCCCACAAUAUCUUUUUCAAAGUGUUCCAUGACACUUCUCUUGGCACCCCACAAUAUCUUUUUCAAAGUGUUCCAUGACACUUCUCUUGGCACCCCACAAUAUCUUUUUCAAAGUGUUCCAUGACACUUCUCUUGGCACCCCACAAGGUGUAGGAAUUGAACAUGAAGUUUUUUUUUUUUAAUUUCGGACUUUAUUUUAUAAAAAUUCCAUUAGUCUUUGUGGGAAUUGCAUUUAAAUUAAAAUUUUCAGAAUCAUGAAUCACCAAUUGUUUAUCAUUCCUUUUUGGUAUUGACCAAUGUAUUGUCCAUUCUUUAAUGAUAAGCGGUCAGCGCAUUAAGUGAUAAAUAAGUUAGAUAAUGAAUUUUUUUUCCAAUUAUAAAAGUUGAGAUUCAAAUACUCAAUCACUUACUUAAUUACUUACUAUCAUUCUAUUUAUUUAUUAACAUUACUAUCAUUCUAAUUGAACAUAACGAAAACACGACACAAUCGAUCUUUUUUAAAACAGCAUUUAAAUUUUCACGCACUAUUAUGUGAGGAAGGAAAUGUGAGCGCUCAGGCACAUAUCAGAUGAAAAAAUUCAGUCCCCUGUAUGGCUGUGAGAAAUUUCAAAAAACACAUCAUGCCAAUGGACAAAUAUUUACAGUUCACGCACACAUUCAUUCCACAGUUCCAGCCCAACCAACAAUAUGCUCAUUAUUCAGACACCAUUAAUAUUUUCCCUUGUCUCAAAUUAAGAGGAAUAAGGAAAAAUGAAAUUCUUAUGGUAAGUAUAUUUAGCAUGACCAAAUAUAAAAAGAAAGAAAGAUAAAUGAAGUCACGAACCAUUUAAUUUCAACGCCAAAGUUGGGUUGCGACGCUUAGCUGGUCUAGUCACGUACCUUCUCAUGUUUCCUUAAAAAUCCACAAAAUUCAAAUCACAAACCUAGCUCUCAAAAUUCAUCAAAACAUAUGUAGUAUGUGUUUAUAAUAUAUACGAUGUUAGAUCUCAAGUGCACCCUUUCUCUAUUGCAGUAUCAUCAUACAUAGUGCCCCUUCAAUAUAGUAAUGCAAAGUGGAACACUAGUCUUUUAUUGUUGUGCACAGUUUCGAGACUAAUUCCCUCAAAGUUUUGAGAUCACAUCAAGUGAGUAAGUCUCUUAUAACAAAUCAUUCUCAAUACUUACUCUCUAAAGAUCGAUCGAACCCUCGACCAAAUGUUUAAAAAACUCAACUAUUUACCGACUGAGUUUUGUGACUUGUUGGCAAGUUGAUGCGGGUCUACACCAGCAUGAUUCACUGUGCACUCUGCACGUAGCUCAUGGAAUUCAGUGUUAUAUUCAAACUUCCCCUCAUACCCGCGCACUAACCCAAAGCAUACACUCAUUUUAAAUCCAAUUUCUUGUCCACACCCUUUAUCUCUCUACAGUGUAUACAAUAUUUUUUCCUAUGUGACCGUUUUGAAAAAAGUUAGAGAGAGAAACAGAGAACAACUGAAGAAAAAAAACAACCAAACAACAACAACAACAACAGUCUUAUUCUUAUCCCAUGAUGCCAUUGUUUGCAGAAUCUCAAUCAAGGAAAUUUGUCUACUUGAGAGAACUUUGAAACUUUUCCCCCAUUUGGGUACCCCCAAAGUUGCUUAGUUUUUCUAGAUCCAUCACCUUUUCUGGGCUAUCAAUUGCAUACAAGGAAGAAUAGUAGAAUACAGUACAUCAUCAUCAUCAAAUACAGGUUGUCUCGAUUUUCGGAAAAAUACGAUUUUGAUCCAAACCCAUUUUCCCUUUACUCACCUUUACAUGUAUUCUCCAUUGCCCAUCUUCAAUCACGUGGUUUUGG
rnacentral:lncRNA from 1 species